GGGAGAAACUGCCAGUACUCUUGGUCUCCAUUCCAAAGGUGGAGGAACGGGGGCUGAAAUUGUCGAUCUCGAAGUCCUUAGAGAAUGGAUUGACAACCCUCAGCCCCAAAUGUUAUAAUAAUUAUACGUCCGUAACUAUUUUCAGGGGGGAGGUGUUAAUGGAGGUCUGGGUCGAGCUAUGCCAGCCUCUACAGAUGUGGACGAAGUCAGAGUGCUGCUGCAACCCACAUAAGUAUUGCCUCUAUCAUCGUGACCAUGGUCACGAUACUGAAGAUUGCCUGCA
rnacentral:lncRNA from 1 species